rnacentral:rRNA from 1 species
CCCUGGCUCAGGACGAACGCGGGCGGCGUGCCUAAUACAUGCAAGUCGAGCGGAGUUGAUGAGAUGCUUGCAUCUUUGAUACUUAGCGGCGGACGGGUGAGUAACACGUGGGUAACCUGCCUUUAAGACUGGGAUAACAUUCGGAAACGGAUGCUAAUACCGGAUAGGCGAUUUGGUCGCAUGAUCGAAUCGAGAAAGAUGGAGCAAUCUAUCACUUAGAGAUGGACCCGCGGCGCAUUAGCUAGUUGGUGAGGUAACGGCUCACCAAGGCGACGAUGCGUAGCCGACCUGAGAGGGUGAUCGGCCACACUGGGACUGAGACACGGCCCAGACUCCUACGGGAGGCAGCAGUAGGGAAUCUUCCGCAAUGGACGAAAGUCUGACGGAGCAACGCCGCGUGAGUGAUGAAGGUUUUCGGAUCGUAAAGCUCUGUUGCCAGGGAAGAACGCUUGGGAUAGUAACUGCUCCCAAGGUGACGGUACCUGAGAAGAAAGCCCCG